rnacentral:rRNA from 1 species
AGAUUGAACGCUGGCGGCAGGCCUAACACAUGCAAGUCGAGCGGCAGCACGGGUACUUGUACCUGGUGGCGAGCGGCGGACGGGUGAGUAAUGCCUAGGAAUCUGCCUGGUAGUGGGGGAUAACGCUCGGAAACGGACGCUAAUACCGCAUACGUCUUACGGGAGAAAGCAGGGGACCUUCGGGCCUUGCGCUAUCAGAUGAGCCUAGGUCGGAUUAGCUAGUUGGUGAGGUAAUGGCUCACCAAGGCGACGAUCCGUAACUGGUCUGAGAGGAUG